AUUGAACGCUGGCGGCAGGCCUAACACAUGCAAGUCGAGCGGUUGACGGGAGCUUGCUCCCCGAUUCAGCGGCGGACGGGUGAGUAAUGCCUAGGAAUCUGCCUAUUAGUGGGGGACAACGUUUCGAAAGGAACGCUAAUACCGCAUACGUCCUACGGGAGAAAGCAGGGGACCUUCGGGCCUUGCGCUAAUAAAUGAGCCUAGGUCGGAUUAGCUUGUUGGUGAGGUAAUGGCUCACCAAGGCGACGAUCCGUAACUGGUCUGAGAGGAUGAUCAGUCACACUGGAACUGAGACACGGUCCAGACUCCUACGGGAGGCAGCAGUGGGGAAUAUUGGACAAUGGGCGAAAGCCUGAUCCAGCCAUGCCGCGUGUGUGAAGAAGGUCUUCGGAUUGUAAAGCACUUUAAGUUGGGAGGAAGGGUUGUAGAUUAAUACUCUGCAAUUUUGACGUUACCGACAGAAUAAGCACCGGCUAACUCUGUGCCAGCCGCCGCAGUAAGAC
rnacentral:rRNA from 1 species